rnacentral:piRNA from 1 species
UGCCUUCUAAGUGUGGAAACCCCUGU